GAGUUUGAUCCUGGCUCAGAAUCAACGCUGGCGGCGUGCCUCAGACAUGCAAGUCGAACGGUUAAAGCUCUCUUCGGAGAGUGAAUAAAGUGGCGCACGGGUGAGUAACACGUAAGUAAUCUACCCUUGGGUGGGGAAUAACUCGGGGAAACCCGAGCUAAUACCGCAUAAUGCAGCGGCUCCGGAUGGAGACAGUUGUUAAAGCAGAAAUGCGCCUGAGGAGGAGCUUGCGGCAGAUUAGCUAGUUGGUAGGGUAACGGCCUACCAAGGCGACGAUCUGUAGCCGACCUGAGAGGGUGGUCGGUCACACUGACACUGAAUAACGGGUCAGACUCCUACGGGAGGCAGCAGUCGGGAAUUUUGGGCAAUGGGCGAAAGCCUGACCCAGCAACGCCGCGUGAAGGAUGAAGUCCUUCGGGAUGUAAACUUCGUAAGAAUGGGAAGAAUCAAUGACGGUACCAUUUGUAAGGUCCGGCUAACUACGUGCCAGCAGCCGCGGUAAUACGUAGGGACCAAGCGUUGUUCGGAUUUACUGGGCGUAAAGGGAGCGUAGGCGGCGCAUCAAGUCAGCUGUGAAAUCUUAAGGCUUAACCUUAAGCGGUCAGCUGAUACUGUUGUGCUAGAGUGCAGAAGGGGCAAUCGGAAUUCUUGGUGUAGCGGUGAAAUGCGUAGAUAUCAAGAGGAACACCUGAGGCGAAGG
rnacentral:rRNA from 1 species